rnacentral:lncRNA from 1 species
UCAACGGUAACCUCACCGUCCACGUCCUCUGGUACGGCCGCUUCUCCGCCACCCAGCGCUCCAUCAUCGCCGACUUCGUCCGUUCCCUCUCCCCCUCCUCUGCCUCCUCCCCGCCGCCCCCCUCCGCCGCAUCCUGGUGGCUCACGACCGCCCGCUACCGCGGCGCAGCCGCCAGCGUCUCCCUCGGCCUCCAGCUCCUCGACGAGAAGUACUCCCUCGGGAAGACCCUCACCUCCGCCGACCUCGCCACCCUCGCCGCCCGCGCCGGGCCCCAUCGCGGGGCGGUCACCGCCGUGCUGACCUCCUCCGACGUCGCCGUCGAUGGGUUCUGCAUGAGCCGGUGCGGGACCCACGGGUCCGCCCCGGCCGGUCGCCUCGGCCGGGCCCGGUUCCCCUAUCUUUGGGUCGGCGACUCGACGGUCCAGUGCCCGGGCCAGUGCGCCUGGCCCUUCCACCAGCCCAUCUACGGCCCUCAGACCCCGCCGCUAGUGGCGCCUAACGGCGACGUGGGGAUGGACGGCAUGGUCAUCAACCUCGCCACGCUGUUAGCCGGGACGGUGACGAACCCUUACGGCAACGGAUACUACCAGGGGCCGGCGACGGC